rnacentral:rRNA from 1 species
AACGAACUCUGGUAUUGAUUGGUGCUUGCAUCAUGAUUUACAUUUGAGUGAGUGGCGAACUGGUGAGUAACACGUGGGAAACCUGCCCAGAAGCGGGGGAUAACACCUGGAAACAGAUGCUAAUACCGCAUAACAACUUGGACCGCAUGGUCCGAGCUUGAAAGAUGGCUUCGGCUAUCACUUUUGGAUGGUCCCGCGGCGUAUUAGCUAGAUGGUGGGGUAACGGCUCACCAUGGCAAUGAUACGUAGCCGACCUGAGAGGGUAAUCGGCCACAUUGGGACUGAGACACGGCCCAAACUCCUACGGGAGGCAGCAGUAGGGAAUCUUCCACAAUGGACGAAAGUCUGAUGGAGCAACGCCGCGUGAGUGAAGAAGGGUUUCGGCUCGUAAAACUCUGUUGUUAAAGAAGAACAUAUCUGAGAGUAACUGUUCAGGUAUUGACGGUAUUUAACCAGAAAGCCACGGCUAACUACGUGCCAGCAGCCGCGGUAAUACGUAGGUGGCAAGCGUUGUCCGGAUUUAUUGGGCGUAAAGCGAGCGCAGGCGGUUUUUUAAGUCUGAUGUGAAAGCCUUCGGCUCAACCGAAGAAGUGCAUCGGAAACUGGGAAACUUGAGUGCAGAAGAGGACAGUGGAACUCCAUGUGUAGCGGUGAAAUGCGUAGAUAUAUGGAAGAACACCAGUGGCGAAGGCGGCUGUCUGGUCUGUAACUGACGCUGAGGCUCGAAAGUAUGGGUAGCAAACAGGAUUAGAUACCCUGGUAGUCCAUACCGUAAACGAUGAAUGCUAAGUGUUGGAGGGUUUCCGCCCUUCAGUGCUGCAGCUAACGCAUUAAGCAUUCCGCCUGGGGAGUACGGCCGCAAGGCUGAAACUCAGAGGAAUUGACGGGGGCCCGCACAAGCGGUGGA